GUAGGCAGUGCCAGCCUUCUGAUUCCCAGGGUGAGGAUGGGGUGCACCGGGCAGGGCAUUGGUCUGCCAUGCAGGGCCCUGGCUCCCAUUCCCAGCACCAUAGAUACCAUGUGUGAUGGUGCAGGCCUGUCAUCCAGCACUGGGAAUUACUUCAGAGCUGUCCUUGGCUAUAUAGGACAGUUUGGGGUACGUGAGACCCCUGACAAAAAAUAUGAACAGACACACGCACACCACACACAUCCCCACACCCAUGCAUGCACGCACAUGCACACACACACACAGCCUCUCCAAACCCAAAGUCCACAGCACACCAGGAGACUUGACGCCGAUGGCUCAGAGACACUUGCCAACACGAAAGUUGGAGUUGAAGCUUCAUGUACAUAAGAUGGCAGAGAACAGGGUGUUGCCAGUCUUUGACCCACAUGGCAGUGUGUGGCACCCCCAAACCCAUAGUGCAUACAAUGUGUCACACAACCCGGGGGACAGUCCCCACUAUGCCAUGCCUACCUAGGGCAGGUGAGACUCCACAUAGCUCAGGCUCUGCCUCAUGUCUGCCUCUUCUGACUCCCUAGUUCUCUCCAGUGUUUUCCAGAACCCUGCACAACCAUGCUGCAUCCCGCGUGGCUCCCGACGUCACCCCAGGACCCGAGGUCCCAGGACCCCACAAAGGCUCUUCUGGCGGCCUCAGUGCAGACUGGGGGAAUUUUCUAGAAAUUCCAAUGUUGGAUGACCCAACAGAAGAGUUAGACAACACCACCCUGGUGCUGGCCAACUCCACAGAGGACCUGGGACGGGCCACUCUGCUGGACUGGGUG
rnacentral:lncRNA from 1 species